CUUCCCCUGGUUGUUGGUGGGAAGCAUUCCCUGGACUUGAAGAGAACGCUCUGGUUCUCUUUUUUGCUACACAGAAAACCCAGACCAGCAAGUUUCUGCUUUCUUGGAGCUCUAUUUGAGUCUUUCCGCAACACAGAGGUGGAAAGGGCAGGUAUUUGGGAUGUGAUUACUGCCUCGGGUAGUGGAAUCUCUUGUCUGGGAUAUGAAGGACUGAAGGGGUGGCUAGAUGCCUGCUUCCAGUUCUCUUAUAGAGAACUGGGAAGUUUUCAGUCUUUCGGAAGUGGCCUGUGGGUAGUCAGAUGUGGUCAGGCUGCAAGGCUGCUUCUUCAACAAGAUGUUUCCUCCUGGCCUCUCCAGUAGCCUUAUCCUAAGCCCAUUUGGAAGGAAGGUGUCUUUACCAUUGUAGCCAGGGUCUGUCUGCCUGCAUAUCUGCUGAGAAAGUUCCAGGUUGCAGGGCUUGAGAGCAUUUUAAAAAAAAAGUUUGACAAUGCUGUGUACAGGUCACACUUGAUGUUGGGGUAUUUUUUUAUUAAACUCUAAAUAUUACAGUCUA
rnacentral:lncRNA from 1 species